rnacentral:rRNA from 1 species
UACGGAGGGUGCAAGCGUUAUCCGGAUUCACUGGGUUUAAAGGGUGCGUAGGUGGGUUGGUAAGUCCGUGGUGAAAUCUCCGAGCUUAACUCGGAAACUGCCGUGGAUACUAUCAAUCUUGAAUACCGUGGAGGUCAGCGGAAUAUGUCAUGUAGCGGUGAAAUGCUUAGAUAUGACAUAGAACACCAAUUGCGAAGGCAGCUGGCUACACGAAUAUUGACACUGAUGCACGAAAGCGUGGGGAUCAAACAGG